rnacentral:ncRNA from 1 species
CGCCGCACCUCGGGGUGCCCGUAACUGGGCUGAGAUGCGCAAGCGAACCCGUUGAACCUGAACCGGUUAACACCGGCGGAGGGAAGGUUGAGACAACGCGC